AUUAGAGUUUGAUCAUGGCUCAGAUUGAACGCUGGCGGCAGGCCUAACACAUGCAAGUCGAGCGGGGUGAUGGUGCUUGCACUAUCACUUAGCGGCGGACGGGUGAGUAAUGCUUAGGAAUCUGCCUAUUAGUGGGGGACAACAUUUCGAAAGGAAUGCUAAUACCGCAUACGUCCUACGGGAGAAAGCAGGGGAUCUUCGGACCUUGCGCUAAUAGAUGAGCCUAAGUCGGAUUAGCUAGUUGGUGGGGUAAAGGCCUACCAAGGCGACGAUCUGUAGCGGGUCUGAGAGGAUGAUCCGCCACACUGGGACUGAGACACGGCCCAGACUCCUACGGGAGGCAGCAGUGGGGAAUAUUGGACAAUGGGGGGAACCCUGAUCCAGCCAUGCCGCGUGUGUGAAGAAGGCCUUAUGGUUGUAAAGCACUUUAAGCGAGGAGGAGGCUACUGAGACUAAUACUCUUGGAUAGUGGACGUUACUCGCAGAAUAAGCACCGGCUAACUCUGUGCCAGCAGCCGCGGUAAUACAGAGGGUGCGAGCGUUAAUCGGAUUUACUGGGCGUAAAGCGUGCGUAGGCGGCUUUUUAAGUCGGAUGUGAAAUCCCCGAGCUUAACUUGGGAAUUGCAUUCGAUACUGGGAAGCUAGAGUAUGGGAGAGGAUGGUAGAAUUCCAGGUGUAGCGGUGAAAUGCGUAGAGAUCUGGAGGAAUACCGAUGGCGAAAGCAGCCAUCUGGCCUAAUACUGACGCUGAGGUACGAAAGCAUGGGGAGCAAACAGGAUUAGAUACCCUGGUAGUCCAUGCCGUAAACGAUGUCUACUAGCCGUUGGGGCCUUUGAGGCUUUAGUGGCGCAGCUAACGCGAUAAGUAGACCGCCUGGGGAGUACGGUCGCAAGACUAAAACUCAAAUGAAUUGACGGGGGCCCGCACAAGCGGUGGAGCAUGUGGUUUAAUUCGAAGCAACGCGAAGAACCUUACCAGGUCUUGACAUCCUCUGAAAACCCUAGAGAUAGGGCUUCUCCUUCGGGAGCAGAGUGACAGGUGGUGCAUGGUUGUCGUCAGCUCGUGUCGUGAGAUGUUGGGUUAAGUCCCGCAACGAGCGCAACCCUUGAUCUUAGUUGCCAUCAUUUAGUUGGGCACUCUAAGGUGACUGCCGGUGACAAACCGGAGGAAGGUGGGGAUGACGUCAAAUCAUCAUGCCCCUUAUGAGUUGGGCUACACACGUGCUACAAUGGACGGUACAAAGGGCAGCGAGACCGCGAGGUGGAGCCAAUCCCAUAAAACCGUUCCCAGUUCGGAUUGCAGGCUGCAACUCGCCUGCAUGAAGUCGGAAUCGCUAGUAAUCGCAGGUCAGCAUACUGCGGUGAAUACGUUCCCGGGCCUUGUACACACCGCCCGUCACACCACGAGAGUUUGUAACACCCGAAGUCGGUGGGGUAACCUUUUUGGAGCCAGCCGCCUAAGGUGGGACAGAUGAUUGGGGUGAAGUCGUAACAAGGUAACCGUAGAAUC
rnacentral:rRNA from 1 species